rnacentral:rRNA from 1 species
CCUACGGGAGGCAGCAGUGAGGAAUAUUGGUCAAUGGACGAGAGUCUGAACCAGCCAAGUAGCGUGAAGGAUGACUGCCCUAUGGGUUGUAAACUUCUUUUAUAAAGGAAUAAAACGAGGCACGUGUGCCUUUUUGUAUGUACCUUAUGAAUAAGGAUCGGCUAACUCCGUGCCAGCAGCCGCGGUAAUACGGAGGAUCCGAGCGUUAUCCGGAUUUAUUGGGUUUAAAGGGAGCGUAGAUGGGUUGUUAAGUCAGUUGUGAAAGUUUGCGGCUCAACCGUAAAAUUGCAAUUGAUACUGGCAGUCUUGAGUACAGGUGAGGUAGGCGGAAUUCGUGGUGUAGCGGUGAAAUGCUUAGAUAUCACGAAGAACCCCGAUUGCGAAGGCAGCUUACUAAACUGUGACUGACAUUGAUGCUCGAAAGUGUGGGUAUCAAACAGGAUUAGAUACCCGAGUAGUC